rnacentral:lncRNA from 1 species
UCCGAUGAAGGCAAAAUUGUCCUUAAAGGACUUACAUGUUUAGGCAUAUUAUCAUCCACAUUUACAUCAUUAUCAUUCACACUAUUUACAUUACUUUCUACGGGAGGACUGUCAUCUUCUUGCCCAGAGCCCCUCGUACCAACAAAAGGUACGAUCUCCUGCCCUCGAGGCCCAGCGUCUUCAUCCCCUUGCUUGGGUUCUGCCUCAGAGGACCCAGCUACAGUGCGAGAGGUUCCUUUGGGUAAGGGCAGAUCAUCCUCACCAUAUAACAUGUCCUCACCAUCGGAG